AGAGUUUGAUCAUGGCUCAGAACGAACGCUGGCGGCAGGCCUAACACAUGCAAGUCGAGCGCCCCGCAAGGGGAGCGGCGGACGGGUGAGUAACGCGUGGGAACGUACCCCUUUCUACGGAAUAGCCUCGGGAAACUGGGAGUAAUACCGUAUAAGCCCUACGGGGGAAAGAUUUAUCGGGAAGGGAUCGGCCCGCGUUGGAUUAGGUAGUUGGUGGGGUAAUGGCCUACCAAGCCGACGAUCCAUAGCUGGUUUGAGAGGAUGAUCAACCACACUGGGACUGAGACACGGCCCAGACUCCUACGGGAGGCAGCAGUGGGGAAUCUUAGACAAUGGGCGCAAGCCUGAUCUAGCCAUGCCGCGUGAUCGAUGAAGGCCUUAGGGUUGUAAAGAUCUUUCAGUGGGGAAGAUAAUGACUGUACCCACAGAAGAG
rnacentral:rRNA from 1 species